GUGGGAGGCAAAGGAUCUGCCCUGAGCCCAGGCAGACAUCUGAUAAGGGUGGGCUGGUUAACUCCCGACCCGGGGGAGUUAGCAGCUGAUGCUGGCUGACUGGCUGGGAGUUAGGACUAGUUCAGCUCGCACCGGGCCAGGCCUAUGCUCACAGGGGCUGCAGAUCUGGAGGGCUGGCAAAAGCAGGGAUUGCCCGCAGCACCCACCCCCACGACCUUUUUUCCUUGGAGCCCCUUUCUCCUACCCUGGAUUUCAAGAAACAAAGCAGCAAGGGAGAGAAGCAAACCAGCAAAGGAAGGAAGGGGAGAACGGUGGAAGAACGGCAGGGGCGGUUGUAAGUUCUCAGGACGUCUCAGGACAUCUCAGGACUUGUAUACUAUUGGACUAGAGGCUCCAUGAAAGCAGGAACCUUGCCUGUCAUCUCUGUGGUACUGCAGACCCGAACACAAUGCCUGACACACGAGAAGAAAAGCCAUGUGAGGACAUAGUGAAAAUGUAGCCCUCUGUAAGUCAGGAAGACAAGACUUGCCAGAAACCAACACCGAUGCACCUUGAUCUUGGACUUCCAGUCUCCAGAACUG